GCAAGGCGUUCGAUCAAAGAACUCAAAUAGACGCGGCUAUUAAGUAGAAAGGCGUAACAAUAGGAUUCGUAGGUGACCUGCGGAGGAUCAUUACUGAUUUGCUUAAUUGCACCACAUGUGUUUUUUAUUGAACAAAUUUCUUUGGUGGCGGGAGCAAUCCUACCGCCAGAGGUUAUAACUAAACCAAACUUUUUAUUUACAGUCAAACUUGAUUUAUUAUUACAAUAGUCAAAACUUUCAACAACGGAUCUCUUGGUUCUCGCAUCGAUGAAGAACACA
rnacentral:misc_RNA from 1 species